rnacentral:lncRNA from 1 species
UAUCAGUGUGAGACAUCUGGGGAGGCUCCCCUUUUUUUCACCAUUUGAGGACUGAAAGUAAAUUUAGCUUCCUCAGCAGAAAGAAAAGAAGCUGUUUUGGAGGUUGGGAAGAGCUUUAGAAAAUGCGGCAUCACGUCUGUUGCCCCAUUUGAAGAAAGCAGCUCUGGAAAAGGCCUAGGACAUUAGUUGCUACAAAGUUCUAGAUCAUUCUGUGUGGUAAAGAAGUGCCUUUCACCUCCCACUGUGAUUCUGAGGCCUCCCCAGCCAUGUGGAACUGGGUCAAGCAAUGGAAUGGAAAUGUGUCAUGUCCUUUCAAGGUCAUCUGUGGAGCAAUGUUUAACAGCCUGCCCAAGAAAUAUUUAAUUACCUAGAGGAAAUCAUCCAUCCCACUGAUGCAAAAAGAAGGUGGUUUCCAUUUUCACUCUGGAUCUAUCUAAUUGACUAUUUAAUUGAUGUGGACUUUAGUAGAGGCAGUGAUUGCUUCCAGUUGGUGGGCCCAGGAAGACUGUGAAAAAGGAGUCACAGAAGGCCUGGAAUGGCUGCGAUGGAGAUAAAGGAUGAAGGGUAGUCCCCUCAGGGUGUUAUCCAAAAAGUCACCUUGGAAGAGGAAGAAACUCCUACCAAUAUCAGAAGAGCAACAAACAUUUUUUUUUCUAGAAGAUAAGUGGCUAAUUUCAAAAUAAUUAUUUUAUCAACUGCCA